UACGUAGGGUGCGAGCGUUAAUCGGAAUUACUGGGCGUAAAGCGUGCGCAGGCGGUUUGUUAAGACAGAUGUGAAAUCCCCGGGCUUAACCUGGGAACUGCAUUUGUGACUGGCAAGCUAGAGUAUGGCAGAGGGGGGUAGAAUUCCACGUGUAGCAGUGAAAUGCGUAGAGAUGUGGAGGAAUACCGAUGGCGAAGGCAGCCCCCUGGGCCAAUACUGACGCUCAUGCACGAAAGCCGUGGGGAGCAAACAGG
rnacentral:rRNA from 1 species